GCCAUCGUGGUGUAACGGUUGGCACACUCGACACGUAUUCAAGAGGUCCAGGGUUCGAGUCCUGGCGAGGACA
rnacentral:tRNA from 1 species